GAUGAAUGCUGGCGGCGUGCCUAACACAUGCAAGUCGAGCGGCAGCGCGGUCUUCGGACUGGCGGCGAGCGGCGGACAGCUGAGUAACGCGUGGGAACAUACCCCAAAGUGAGGGAUAACCGCCCGAAAGGGUGGCUAAUACCGCAUAUGAUCUUCGGAUUAAAGGAUUUAUCCGCUUUGGGAAUGGCCUGCGUACGAUUAGAUAGUUGGUGAGGUAAUGGCUCACCAAGUCGACGAUCGUUAACUGGUCUGAGAGGAUGAUCAGUCAGACUGGAACUGAGACACGGUCCAGACUCCUACGGGAGGCAGCAGUGAGGAAUCUUCCACAAUGGGCGAAAGCCUGAUGGAGCAACGCCGCGUGCAGGAUGAAGGCCUUCGGGUCGUAAACUGCUUUUAUGAGUGAAGAAUAUGACGGUAACUCAUGAAUAAGCACCGGCUAACUACGUGCCAGCAGCCGCAGUAA
rnacentral:rRNA from 1 species